GCGUUUUCGAUGCUGGUCACAGGAAAAUCCAGGAGCCGCAUUGAAUCAGCCAAAGAGCCGCAUGCGGCUCGCGAGACGCAGGUUGGCCACCCCGACAGUAGUCCACGUUUAGUGAGUUUGCACACCAUUGUAAAGAUAUCAGACUAACCAUUUAUUUUCUACCGAAGCGAGCAAAAGCUUGUCAGCAGUUUUGAGCGCAUACCUGUUAAAUUGGACCUGGCCAGCAUGGGGCGCUGGGCUUAAACUGUAUCAUAAAAGACAGUUCAAAACGGCAAUUAAAGAUGACAAACAGAGAAGAAGAAAACAGAUGUUAACCAUAAGAGACAGGUUCAUACCUGCACAUUCAGUGCUUUACAUACACCUGAAUUGUUCCGAAGCUCGCCGUGCUUUGUCUUCUCCUUAACAGUCCCAGUCGGGAAACCUGAGGAAAAAGAUCAGCAGGAAAAUGACCAUGAUGGGAACAAAGCUGGAUGAUGCCCUCCAGCAGAAACUGAGAAAUCUUAUUCACCACAAACACGCCCUGAUUUUUAAAUUGGACGACUUAUUUUUGGUUUUGGAUCAG